CAGUGGAGACUGUUUCUGCCCCCAGAUGGCAGUAACACCUUCACUGCGAAACCCUGACUCCAGCCUGCAGGUUCUUCACGUGUCCAGGGAUGGAGUGCCAUUUCCCUCUGGAAAUCCUUAUUCAGAAGGGCAGCAGCAGUUCCCUCGCUGACAAAGACCUGGACGUGACCUCGAAUAUCUGCAGCUUGGAAAAUGUUACACGGAGCCACAGAUGACUUCAGGCAGGAGUUCCAGGGCCUGAUGAACAGCUACCUCUGGACCGUGACUGUCAGUGCCUUUUCCUGAAAGCCUCAUCUGCCCCCAGGACUCUAGCCACUGAAAAGGACCCAAGCUACGAAACUGCCCUCAAUGAAGAAUGAAAACACCAUUUUGGCUUUUCCAAACUAAUGGUUCUGGCUAAUCUUAAUCCAACUCCAGUGCCCAUUCACCUUGAAGAUGUUUCCAAGCCUCUUGUCUCUAAGGAAUUAUUCUCUCACGCCUCUCCUGCAUCUCUGCAUCUCUAUUACAUUGGUGGUCAUGUUCUGUCCACCUGAUUCCACACAACAGGAGCAGAAGACUUUGCCCUCUACUUUGUGUCCUUUUAUCUCAGAGUCCCCUUUGAGUCUUCCUUCUCCCACACUCACUACAUUUCGUCAGUCAGUAACUCCUACUGAUUCUCUUACAUUUCCACUGUCCUAUCUGAGUCUGGGCUACCUCCAGGUCUUGUUUUAUCUUCACAACAAUCUACAAGAUUUUCCUGACUCAAGUCUGCCUCCUCUUGUCCAUUUAUUUCUUACUCUGUGGCCACAGUGAUUUUUUUUUCCCCCUAAAAUGCCUAUUAUCUGAUAAUCUUAUUCCCUUGCUUAAAACUUUUAAUAUCGGCACAUUGCCCUUGCGAUAAGAUCCAAACUCCUUGCCAUGGCUUACAAGGCUCUAUCAGCAUCUUCCUUCUAACUCCUAAUGUAACUUCCUUCUAACUUCCUUCUAAUGUGCUAUACAUUCAAGAGACCCUUAGCUCCUAUUUGUUCCUUCUUUGAUGCCUGUUGGGCUGUUUCUUGGAGAAGGCAAUGGCACCCCACUCCAGUACUCCUGCCUGGAAAAUCCCAUGGACGGAGGAGCCUUGUGGGCUGCAGUCCAUGGGGUCGCUAAGAGUUGGGCAUGACUGAGCGACUUCCCUUUCACUUUUCACUUAGCUCAUGCUUUGGAGAAGGAAAUGGCAACCCACUCCAGUGUUCUUGCCUGGAGAACCCCAGGGAUGGGGGAACCUGGUGGGCUGCCGUCUAUGGGGUCACACAGAGUCGGACACGACUGAAGCGACUUAGCAUAGCAUGGACUCUUUCUUGCCUCUGAGCCUUCGCCUGUAUCUUUCCCAGUACUCUCCCUAUUGCUUCACCUGAUUC
ensembl:lncRNA